UUGAUCCUGGCUCAGAAUCAACGCUGGCGGCGUGCCUAACACAUGCAAGUCGAACGCGAAAGUCCCGCAAGGGAUAAGUAGAGUGGCAAACGGGUGAGUUACACGUGGGUGACCUGCCUUCGAGUGGGGGAUAACGUCCCGAAAGGGACUCUAAUACCGCAUGACAUCCUGUCUUUGAACAGGCGGAGAUCAAAGCUGGUGAUCGCAAGACCUAGCGCUUGAAGAGGGGCCCGCGUCUGAUUAGCUAGUUGGUGAGGUAACGGCUCACCAAGGCGACGAUCAGUAUCCGGCCUGAGAGGUCGGACGGACACACUGGGACUGAGACACGGCCCAGACUCCUACGGGAGGCUGCAGUGGGGAAUUGUUCGCAAUGGGCGCAAGCCUGACGACGCAACGCCGUGUGGAGGACGAAGAUCUUCGGGUCGUAAACUCCUUUCGAUCGAGACGAAUGGCUUCCGGGUGAAUAUCCCGGAAGAUUGACGGUACCGAGAGAAGAAGCUCCGGCUAACUCCGUGCCAGCAGCCGCGGUAAUAAGGU
rnacentral:rRNA from 1 species